GUUUUUUUCUUUAUUUAUACAAAUGUCAACAUAAAAAACGUCGCCAUAGAUUUAAAAAAAAAAAAAAAAACUCAUACACUUUUUUACAUUUUUAUGGCGACGCAAAAAAUGUCAGCAUAAUUUUUAAAAUCGAAACCCUAAUUUCUUUACUUUUCUCUUCUUUUUCCCAAUCCCCCUUUCUCCCACAUAAGCGCCCUCCCCUUACGAUUUUCUCUCCUCGUGCCUCUCGCCGUAGUCGCUCCCUGCCCGUGCCUGAGAUUUCCUCUUCAAGUCGUUGUUGCCACACGCUCGCUGACAUCAUGGGUCUUCGAGUGCCUCCCUCUCCCAUUAUCCCUUCGUGCAACCUCCCUCUCUCCCUCUCUUGCAAGUAGUUUCCUAUCUGCUCACUGGACCCCUCGUCGCACCACUCGCCUCCCCUGCUUGACGCUACCCUCCCCAAGUGCUUGCUUCAACCCAUAGAGAGCCUUCUUCAACAAAUAAACCUUAUGCUCUUGUCCUGAUACGAUGAAUCCAUCUGGUUGCUCAACAUAGAUCUCUUCUUCUAACACUCCAUUUAGGAAUAUUGGCUUCACAUAUAGCUGAUACACCUUCCAUCUAUGUUGUGCUGACAAAACCAGUAGCAAUCUGAUUGUGUUCAUUCUUGCAACUGUUGCAAAAGUCUCAGAAAAAUCAAUUCCCCAGACUUGUGCAUACCCUUUUACCAUUAACCUGGCCUUGAGCUUGUUCAUAGAGCCAUCUGGGUUCAAUUUGGCUUUGAAAACCCAUUUGACUCCAAUCACUUUUCUAUCUGUAGACUUCUCCACCAACUCCCAUGUAUUGUUUUUCUCUCUCAUACUCAACUCUUCCUUCAUUGCCUUUAUCCACUUCAUAUCUCCUUUAGCUUUUUCAUAACUUGUAGGCUCUAAUGCAGCUACACUACUUCUUUCAUACACCUUCCUCAAUAGUCUAGUCCUAUAACUGGUGCAUCAUCAACUAAUUCAUUAGGAUCCAGAGAGACUUCUUGUGGCUUCACCUCUGCUUCAUCUGUCCAGUCCCACUCCUCAUCCUUUAAAAACUGAACAUCUCUACUAAUUACCAUUUUUUCUAUGGGAGGUUGAUAGAUCUUGUAAGCUUUCGACACCAUGCUAUAACCUACAAAGAUUCCUGGUUCGGCCUUUUCACUCAACGUCUCUUUAUUGACAUGUGGAACAUAAAAAAAACACAAACAUCCAAACACCUUCAAAUUUGUUAGCUUUGGUUUAGUAUCAAGUUAAGCUUCAUAAGGGGACUUCUUCUCUAACACGCUCGUAACUAGUCUAUUCAAUAGAAAAAUUGUUAUGUUUGUUGCUUUAGCCUAAAAUUCCUUUGGCAAGUUCUUCUCAUGCAAUAAGCAUCUUGUCAUCUCCAUAAUACUCUGUUCUAACUCUCACAAAUUAAACUCCUUUUUUUUUUGGAGAAUAUGGAGCAGUAAGCUGAUACUCUAUCCCAACUUUUUCAAAGAAGUUAAAUCUUUGCGAUGUCUAUUCAGCCCCAUUAUCAGUUCUCACCACCUAACUUUUACACCCACUUUGAUUCUCAACCUAUCUCUCAAACUUCAGAAACACUUCAGCUACUUCAGACUGAUGCUUCAUGAAAUGUCUCUAACACAUUUUUGUAUAAUUAUUAAUAAAGAUAAUAAAAUACCCUCUACCAUUUAGUGAGAGAGCAGGUUGAGGUCCACACAAGUCAUUUUGGAUGAGCUACAACUUCUUAAUUGGUUUCCAUUGUGACUUCUUGAAAGGCUUUCUUGUUUGCAUCUCUGUUAAGCAAGCUCUGCAGUUUGUUUUCAAUUCCUCUAGAACUAGUACUCAUACAACCAUCUCAUCUGCAAAUACUGCAAUCCUUUCUGAUGAAAAUGCUCUAACCUCUUGUGCCAUAAAUCAAUAAUAUUCACUUAACACUUGAAAGUUAUCUACCCAUUCUCGAGUAGAUCCAAUGAGAAGCUCUUGUGUUGCAUCUUUAUUUUGAACACAAUUCUUUCCCAUUGGAAUCAGAAAUGAGGCACUUUUCUUCUUCAAACAACACUUUGAAUCCAUUCUCUACUAAUUGACUAACAUUUAACAAGUUUUGAUCAAUUUCAGAGACAAGCAUUACUUCAGUAAUCAACUUGGUUCCAACACAGCUCUUCGUUGACAUUAUACACUUCCCCUUUACUUCUAAAUACUCAUUGUUUCCUAUCUUCACCCUUAACUUGAAUUGACGUGUCAAGGUCCUUCAACAACUCUUUGUCACUUGCCAUGUGAUUGAUACACCCACUAUCAACCAACUAACCAUCACAUUGAGUGACUAAUGAGAAACAAGUAGCCACAAAGAGUUGAUCUUCUUCUUGUUGUACUACAACAUGUGCUCCUCCUUAUUGUUGAGUUUUUUCUUCCUUACAGAAUCAUUCAUUGUGCCCUAAUAAAUGAUAUCUUAUACUCUUCACAUUUGGCCUUCUCUCGCAUCUGAAAUGUGGAUGGUUCUGCUUCCAUUAUAAACAUAUCAUUUUGCAUAACACGCAUUAGUUACCAAACAUUCCUUUAUCCAAGGAUCUCGAAUCAUUCUCUACGCUAGGUCACAUAACUUCGUGUUUAGACUACUACAACAGCAGCAUUCGAGAAUAUACAAAUUCGUCCUUGUUGCUUGCUCAGGCUACUAAGUUUAAUAAGCUCCUUUCAAAAUAUUAACUAGCAUUUCAUCACCAUGUAGCCACGUACAUCCCACGGUGGCCGUUACUCUUUAUGUGUACAUAAAAGUUAGCUCGUUUUAAAAGGAAGAAACUAAUGGUUUGAACACCUUUCAUAAACAUUUCAUUUUCAAAACAGUAUUGGUUUUCAUGCAAAUCCUUUUUAAAUCAUUUGCAAUGAAAAUCUUUAAACAUACAUGAGAAUCAUAAAUCAUUUAAAUAUUUUAAAAAAAAACACUCACAAACUGAAUAAAAUCACCAAAAUACUCCUACUUUCUUCUUCUUGCAUAGACAAGAUGGCAACACUUCAACUUUUCUCUUGAGAAAUUCUCAAAAUAACAAACGAGUAAUGGUUUGAUCUUAACCCCUAUUUAUAUUACUCCUUAAACCAGCUUAGUCAUCCUUAAACUCUUGUCUACUUGCCAGUUAUCCUUUUUAGUGGUGCACAUGUAAACUUAAGAUUUAACCUAUUCACGCUUAACUUAAACUCCACACGUGGCCCAUUAAAACACACUUAAGAAAUUUCUGAGAAGUUUCCUUAUUCCUUCUCGCCAAGUCUUUCUUCUCGCAUAGCAUCUUAAUCGCAUUGUGAUACUUAAACUUCAAAUCUUCCUUGCGAACGACCUUAGAUAUCAACUUCUUAUCGCCUAACCUUACUUCAAAACGUCUUCUUUUGUCCAACUCGUCCAAUUUAGAACACUUAGUCAAAAAUUUUACUUCUUAAUUCUUUUUCUUAAGUGCAGUUCUUACAAGCAUCCUUCACAGCAGACUCUGAGCUAUUGGUGCCACUUCCCCUCUUCCCUUUCCCCUUCUCCUCUCUUUCCUCUUUCUCCCUACUGCAACUCUAGCUUUCAAUGCCCCCUUAAUGCUUUCUUCUUUUCUCAUAAACAUCCUCUGCUCUUGAGUUUACAAAGCACUAACUACUUCUAUCACCUUGAGUUUUGAGAGGUCUUUAGUAUGUUUUUAAGGAAGCAAUGGUUGCUUUAUAUCUCUCAAAUACCGAAACCAUAUUCUUCUAAACCAAACUAUUGUCAGAUAAAUUGGAUUCUAAUGCUCUAGCCUUGUUAGCAAUCCCAAUUAACUUAUCUGAGUACUUUUUAAUGGACUCAAGAUUCUUCAUUUUCAUUCUCUCGAAUUCUCUCACCAAAUUCAACACUUUCAUGCCUUUAAUAUUCUCAUCACCUUUUUACUCACUCUUGAGAAACUCCCAGAUCUCCUUUGUCAACUUUAAGGCCAUAAUUCUAUUGAAUAUGGUAAGAGACACAACUGCAUAUAGGCAAUGUCACGUCUCGCCUUGCACGCGUCUUAAAUCUCUCUAUGCGGCACGCGACACGACUUAAGCAGCCUUGACGUCAAGAUGAGAUGCAAAAGACUCUACUUAAGUCCUUGAAACUUGACCUUAUCGCCUAGUUCAACUUAACACCUUUAGCUACUAAUUGAUAGGAAUAACAUAAUGCAACAAAAAAAAAAACAAAACAUUACUUUUUUUAUUAAUUUAAUAGUAUCCGAUCCAAAUACAUUUUUCAAGCUCCCUUAAAUACAUGAAUUAUAACAUAAAGCUUUAGUUAAAGGCAUAAUAGUUUGCCUUUCUUAUCCCAACUUGGCCUUAAUGCCUGGUGACUUGGGGAAAGGGAAACUUAAAAUUAUAAGUCAAAGCUUAGUAAGUGAUAGUUUUUUAAAACCUUUUUGGGCAUACAAUACAUUAAAUCAUUUUCAUAACCAUGGUUUGCCUUAUUUCAUAAAAUAGAAAUCACUCAUUAGUCUCUCAUAUUUCUUUUUUUUCAAUAACAUGAAUCAUUCCAUAGACUACUGUGAUGUCCUUUUCAUCAACAUCAUUCCUUGGAGAAUUUUCUGGUUCAUUUCUCGUUGCUUAGGCCGCUAAGCUCAACACGCUCGUUUUACGCAUCGACUAGCUUCACUCCACAAUGCAGUCCUUUUCUACAUAGCUGUCUUUACUCCUUAUGUCCACAUAAUAGUUAGCUCAUUGAUAGGAAUAAGACUAAUGGUUUAUUCACACAUAUCAUACAAUGAUUAAACAUAAAACUUACUUAAAGCAUAAUACAAGCUUUAUUUCGAAACCAUUCCUUUUAUAAACAUUAACAUAUGAACAACAUUACAAACCAACAAGAAAUUUAGAAUAAAACUUUAAACUCUUUAAACAUUUUGGAAAAAUCACUCACGGACUAAAUUCCCUUCUUCAUAAUGCCUAGUCCCCCAAAAGUAUUAUUUUCGCCUAGUGACUUUUCAGUAAGACAACACUUAAUACUUUCUCUUAUUAAAAUCUCAGAGUAACCUCCUUUUCUUUUAAGCCUAUCCCCUAUUUAUACCAAUCUCAGAUUGGAUUAGUCAUCCUUUAAGCUUACUUAAACUAUCAGCUUCUUCUUGUAGUGCUAUACGUAUCAUCUCAAUAUUUCUUUUAAUAAUGUUUAAUCUUACCCUUGACACAUAUCCUAAUAAUUAACCACGACUAGGAAAUUUUCCAUAAAUUUUCUAAUUCUUAUGGCUUUAGCUUGCGUUGAACCUCAAACUGCCUACUUAGUCUUACUCGCAUUCUACUUCACCUUAUGUCGCCUUAAUUCAACGUCAACCACCAAAAUGUCUAAACAUUUAAAAUACUUUCUUUCCAAAACUCCUUUCUUAAGAAAUUUUUAUUCCCAAUUAACCUUUCCAUUUCAAACAAGGGUCUCACAGACAAGCUUGAGCUUUUGCCUUCCUGGUGACCCUCUCCUUGUAACUCUUGAUCUAAUGUCUUGUUGGGUUAUCAAGAAGUGGAGCAAUCUCAUAGUCUUGCUCAAUUGCUUCCCAAUAACCAUAACCCUCCAUGUAGGCUUGCAUUCUGAUAGCCAUGCUUGAGAGUUUUUACCAUCAAACACAGAUGGAGCCAAUGAAGAAAGAUUGUUUGAUCCUAAUUCCAUCUCUAACAGCUCUUGCAGUGUAUCACUCAGUUUCUCUCAGAGAAAUUUCAAUGAUUCUCAUUCAUAGAUCUCUUAAUAAUUAAGGGCUCUAAUACCAAUGUUGUUCUAACUAAUGGGAAGAAAAUGAGAAAAUGGAAAGUGUCUAUUUCAUUCCAGGAAACUCCAUAUAUAUACAUAUCUUAAAUUUAAAAAUAGAUUCUACGAAGUUAGCAACUAAUCCUACUAAAUCCACCAAAAUAGGAACUUAGACUUACUACAACUAAAAAUAAGUCAACUAUUUCCUAGAAACUAGGAAUUAACUAGACCAAUUCAAAAACUAAUUUGCAGUUUGAGUUACUAACAAGAGUAAAUAGAACCAAAAAAAAAAAAAAAAAACCAA